UACGGGGGGGGCAAGCGUUGUUCGGAAUUACUGGGCGUAAAGCGCACGUAGGCGGAUCGAUCAGUCAGGGGUGAAAUCCCAGAGCUCAACUCUGGAACUGCCUUUGAUACUGUCGAUCUGGAGUAUGGAAGAGGUGAGUGGAAUUCCGAGUGUAGAGGUGAAAUUCGUAGAUAUGCGGAGGAACACCAGUGGCGAAGGCGGCUCACUGGUCCAUUACUGACGCUGAGGUGCGAAAGCGUGGGGAGCAAACAGG
rnacentral:rRNA from 1 species